GCGGCCUAUCAGCUUGUUGGCGGGGUAAUGGCCCACCAAGGCAACGACGGGUAGCUGGUCUGAGAGGAUGGUCAGCCACACUGGGACUGAGACACGGCCCAGACUCCUACGGGAGGCAGCAGUGGGGAAUCUUGCGCAAUGGGCGAAAGCCUGACGCAGCAACGCCGCGUGCGGGAAGAAGGCUUUCGGGCUGUAAACCGCUUUCAGCAGGAACGAAAAUGACGGUACCUGCAGAAGAAGGAGCGGCCAACUAUGUGCCAGCAGCCGCGGUGAUACAUAGGCUUCAAGCGUUGUCCGGAUUUAUUGGGCGUAAAGAGUUCGUAGGCGGUCGAGUAAGUCGGGUGUUAAAACUCUGGGCUCAACCCGGAGACGCCAUCCGAUACUACUAUGACUUGAGUUCAGGAGGGGAGACUGGAAUUCCU
rnacentral:rRNA from 1 species